rnacentral:rRNA from 1 species
GCACUAAGAAAAUUAAUAUUCUUUAUUUAUUUAUGUUUUUAUAUGACGAUUACUUUUAAGUCCGUCUUUAUAUUAGAUGUUAGAUCUUUAUGCCGAAAAUAUUUUUUAUUGUAACUCACCUUAAAUUCUUACAUAUUAGCUGCACUUUGAUUUGUAAUUACCUUAAAGUAAAGUUUAAGAACCCGCCUGUAGGCGAGUUCAAGACAACGGUAUACAAGCUUUAAUAAGGUAAGUAGUAUUUUCUUGGUGGCUGUCAAUUAUAUGGUAAGUUCCCCUAAUGUAUUUUCUCAGCCGCCAUAAUAUUUAAGUUUAUGUCUUAUAAGUAACAUUAUUCCUUGUUAUAUAAAAUGUAAUCUCCGUAUAGCUGGGUCUCUAAUCCAGGUUUAUUUGUUAGAGUUUGGUUCGUGACAAAACGGAAAAAAUUAGAAUAGUUAAUAGCAUUUCACUGCAUAAUAACUCCUUAUAGUUUAAAUAUGCGAAGUAGCACUCAUAUAACAAUUACUUUAGGUUUACUUAUUAGGUUUGACCGCGGUUGCUGGCACCUAAUUAACCUAAAUUAUAUAGUUAUCUAAAUCUAAUUUUCAUUAAAAUUUUAAAAUUUUUAACUGGACUAUUCUAUUAGUAUUCCAUAUUAAGUUAGACUAUGAACCUAUAGCUCCAUCAUAUUAAAGUGGUAAAGUCUAUGGGGGAAUAUACCAUUUUAGA